rnacentral:lncRNA from 1 species
CUUCAUCUCUGAGCACAAGGCCUGGAGAAGGAAGUGGCAACCCACUCCAGUAUCCUUGCCUGGAGAAUCCAUGGACAGAGGAGCCUGGUGGGCUACAGUCCAUGGGGUCUCAAGAAUCGGACACGACUGAGCAACUCAACCACCUCCAGCUGAGCACCAGGAAUCCUCAUCCACGAAGGAGACAGCAACCCCCACCGAUAACAAAGCUAAGGAAGUCAAACGUCGGUGUGGGAUUCUGUGAAGCAGCAAUGGCUGGACUCCUCGGGAUGCCCCCCGUGAGUUACCUGCAUUUACGGUCCUCCCCAGGGGGAGCCGGC